AAGAUGCCACAUAAUCAUAUCCAAAUUAAAUGCAGGCGUCCAAAACACAGAAAUAGUAGUCUAAAUCACAUAGUCAUACACACAUAGCACAUAUACUUGUCCAAAUCACAUAGUCAUACACACAUAGGGAUCUCACAUAGUCAUACACAGAAAUAUUAGUCCCCUCACAUAGUCAUACACACAUAGCACAUAUACUUGUCCAAAUCACGGUCCAUGUAGUUUCUUAUUCUUCUCCCUCCUCCCACCACCAAGGGAUCUCACCUUCCCCCUCCAUGUCCUCCACCCCCUUCAUUGUUUCCAUACCUAUGAAAAUGGCAAUAUAAUAGUUAGUCACACAAUACAAAAUGACAACACAAGCAUUGAGCCAAAAGAACAAGAUCAUAGUAAGUCACAUACGGCAAUGGUCCAUUGAGCCAAGAGAACAUUCCUCCACUACGGCCGCUGCCAAGGCCAAGAUCACCACUGCCUCCACCAUCACCACGGCCUACACCACCACCGCGGCCUCUACCGCCACCACCACGGCCUAUACCACCACCACCACCACCACCACGGACUCUACCAGCAGCACGGCCAAGACCACCACCACGACCUCUACCACCACCACGGCCAAGACCUUCACCACGACCAACACCAUCACCACG
rnacentral:lncRNA from 1 species